GCACAAUUUUCGAUUAUUUCGAUGUUGAUGAUUUAUAUUGCGAAAAGUUUUUUGUAAAAAUUGAUGUAAAAUUAAUUAUUACUUAACAAACAAUGCACUAUAACUUUAGUUUUUACAAAAUUACAAUUAUCUUCAUACAAAGUAUUUAUAUCAGUAAUUAAUCAAUUAACAUAGCAAUAGUAGAAAUUGUAAAUAGUACAGAAUGGUUCUUAUUAUAAUAUUUGUUUAAUAAUAAAACAUUUUGACUCUUUCGCGACCGAGAGUGAAAAAUCUUGAAAUACCUUUUAUAUAAAUUUUAUAUAAAUAACUUGAAAUAACUUUUAUACAGGGUGUCCGGUAGGGAAGUAUCGAUCGGAAAAGUGGAGAUAGAUUGCGUGAAGCUGAGUCGAUAAGUCUUGUAUCAUUUUGCGAUUUGCGCAAAAUCUCCACUUUUCCGGUGGAUACUUCCCUACCGGACACCCUGUAUAAAUUAUGCACCCAAUUACACAUUCAUGCACGAUCGAUCCAGUCUUUAAUGCGACUUAUUUUUUUAAAUUUUUUGUGCAGAACCAUCUCUUGAUGAGUGGUUGCAUUAUAAAGUUUGAUCUCCCAAAAUUUUAUUUUUAGUAUCUUUGACUUUUGUCAAAAAACUACACUUCGUGCACACGGAAGAUCAAAAAGAUGCUAGAAUAGAGCACUGUAAAGACAUGUUAAAAGCGGCUGAUAUUGAUCCGGAUUUUAUGAAAAAUAUCGUAAUUUGUGACGCGAAAAAAAUGGUAUUCUCAAUAUGAGCCACUGACAAAGUGGUAGAAGUGCUCAUGAAUAGAACAGCUGAAUCAAGACAUGGCUCACCGUCUUCUUCGAUUCGAAAGGAAUCGUCUACAAGAAAUUAAAACUAGAAGAUUAAAUGAUUGAUAAUAAUCAUAAAAAAUAAUUUAGAUAUUUUGAAUCGUUUGUGGAACAGAAAUCUUAGAAUUCGAUUUAAAUACCGAAAGCAAGAAUUUUGGUUGCUUUUACACGAUAAUGCAUCAAUACAAAAAUCCAAGAUUGUAUGCGAUUUCUUUGCCAAAAAGAGAAUCACAAUAAUUAAACAUCCACGGAUUCGCCUGAUUUGGCUUUGUAAUUGUGUAAUUUUUAGCUAUUCCUAAAAUUUAAGUUGGUGAUGAAAGGAAAGUUACAAAUUAUAAUAUCAUUUAGGAUAUCCAAAAGAAUUCUACCGCAGUUUUGGAGACGAUUUCGGAAAUACAGUAAUGACUGUUUUGAAAAAUUUUUUAAUCGCUUCUAGCGUAUUGACUAAAGAGUGUAUUCUGAAUAAAAAAAUAAAAACAAAACAUAAUUGAUAUGUUUUUUUCGGUACGAGUCGCACCAGAUCCUGGAAAGACUGUAUAUUUCUUUAUUAGACUAAAUCUUAUUUUUUAACUUUUAAAAUUUAUUUUACGGUAUCUGCUAAACUUAUUUCGGUAAAACUGCAUAAAAGGUUACAUCUCGCGGAUCUUUCUCACUUUGACGUAUGUUAUAAAGGGUAAAGUUCUAAGUAAUUUUUACUUAACAACUAUGUGGCGCUGAUGUGUAGUUUAUGAAAUAAAUCUCACAAAUAAUAUUAAGGAAAAUAUAUAGAUUAAGAGAAAUAAAUCAAUUCCGAUUACUUUGACCUACUACCUUGACAUAUGCAGGGUGAUUCAAAACAAACGUCAAUCCUUAAAAUGUCAUAUUCCUGAUAUAAUUCUAAGACAAUUUGUCCUUUACCAAAAUUUUGUUGGAAGCUCAGUUUUCAAAUUAUAAGCGGAAAUAGCGAAUUACGGGGCAAGUACGGAAGGUAAGUAGGGGCGGCGCAACUCACCGUCCGAUGCGGGCGAUUAUGCGAUCAGCCCUUACACGCAGUGGUAUGCACGCAUACAAGAAUGUGUGAGCAUGUGUGUGCGCGCGCGCGUACCAUUGCGUGUAGCAACUAGUCGCGUAAUCGUCCGUGUCAGGAUUGUCCCGAUUGCGCACAUUAAUCAUCGGACACGAAAAAAUUUUCCGAUCGGACAUAGUUUCAAUCGGACACAUUUCCGAUCGGACACAUUUUCGAUCGGACACAGAUUCGAUCGGAUACAUUUCCGAUCGGACACAGUUUCCAUCGGACACAGAUUCUAUCGGACACAUACAGUUUCCAUUGGACACAGGCUCCAUCGAAUUCGGUUUCGAUCGGACACAUUUAUUACCAAAAUAUGUUUAAUGAUUAGUAAAUGAUUCCGCAUGGCUUCGACGGGGUCCGUGUUUUGGACAUUCCACGCCAAUCGGGGUCCACCUCGGGCGGGUUAGCCUCCCUGAUGAUUGUUUAUAUUUUUUCGGCGGGGGUGCAGGUGGAGGUACUCGUCUUCGCCUUCGGCGAAGCGCCCUCCACCUGCAUUACGCGUGAGGCGCGAACACUAUCGAAUCAUCGGUACGAUUCCACAUGGGUUCAAGGAGGUCUAUGUUUGUGACUUUUCACGUCGUUGAACCAAUGCAGAAUCGUACCAAUGACUCGAUAGUGUUAGCGUGGGGCGGGUAAUGCAGCUGGUGGGUGUGUCCGAUAGAAUCUGUGUCCGAUCGAAACUGUGUCCGAUCGGAAAAUAUCUUCGUGUCCGAUGAGUAAUGUGCGCAAUCGGGACUCACUUGUCCGCGUCGGACGGUGAGUUGCGCCACCUCUGCUUACCUUCCGUACUCGCUCCGUAAUUCGCUAACUAUUUCCGCUUAUAAUUUGAAAACUAAGCUUCGAACAAAAUUUUGAUAAAGGACAAAUUGUGUUAGAAUUACAUCAGGAAUACGACAUUUUAAGGACUAACGUUUGUUUUGAAUCACCCUGUAUAAAAGUGUUCCUCCCGAGUAAUCUGUAUAAGGGUUUAGCUUUCAUUCGUUGUUUAUUACGAAGUUAUUAACAAAAAAGUUUAAUAAUUUUGUAAGAAUUUUCAGCGUCCACGUGAAAGGAGGAGUUACGACUUGAGUUAGGUUACAUUAGAUUAGGCUAGAAUGUCUCCAAAUGUUACAAUGUCACAAGAGUGCACAAGAAAGGAUAAACAAUAAUGUAAAUUAUUGUUUACAUAGAUUUGCGAAUCUAUAAGAGAUCUAUAGAUAUUAACAGUAGAAGUGUGAGUCCUCUUCCCCUGUACCUCCUCCUCGCAAAAAUCUAACCUAACUUAACCUAAUCUAACUCACCCGCAACUUUUCCUUUCGCGUGAACAGCUGAAAAGUCGUGGAAAGUCAUUAAACGUUUUUUGUUAAUAACUUUUUAAUAAACAAGCGACAGCUAAAACCUUCUGAGAAUUCUGAGAAACACUCAGGAAGGUGUCCUCUAUAACAUAUGUCAAAGUCAAAGUAAUCGAAGCUGACCUAGCUUCUCUAAUCUGUAUAAUUACCUUAAUGUUAUUUGUGAUAUAUUGUGAUAUAUCUCAGAAACUACACUACUACUACUUAGAACUUCAUCCUUCAUAACAUAUAUUAAAAUGAGAAAGAUCCGUGACGUGUAACCUUUUCUGCAGGUUUACCGUUAUUUCAUUUGUUGAAAAAAAUUACGCAAAAUGUGAGGUCAAUCGGACAACGGAAAAACAUGGCACAUCUACUUUGAAGUUUUUAAGUUUUAAUAAUUCGAUAUGAUAUAUAGAGACAACAAAUUUCUAAAAGAUUAAGUAGUUAACAUAGUUUAUAUUUUCAAAACUAUUAUGCUUUUUUUGUUAUUUACAACUAAUAUUUUUAAUUAUAUGUAUUUUGUGUGUGUGUGUGUGUGCGCACGCGCGCGUGUGUGUGCGUGUAUAAAUACUAAAAUAUAAGCUGAGCAUCACGAUGCAAAUGAGUUUUCCUCCCAAAGCAGCCCACGAAAGAAGAGAUCGUGAGAAUUGAAAGAAUAUCGAACGAAUUUUCAAAGUACUUUUGUCAAAAAAAUAUUAGAGUCAUUAAGGGGGGAUUCUCAUGUAACGAGUCAAAAAAUUUUGUUUGCUUAAAUCAACUCUAAUACAUGUGGAAAAUAUGUUCCUAAAGUUACAAAUCGAUAUUCGACCUCUACGUAUAGUUAUAGUCGAGUUUUCGACCGCGCGUUGAGUAGGUAGCUGGGAGCGCUCGGAGCGGAGACACGCGUCUCGUCUGUCCUCACUCAUACACUCGUACAUAACAAACAGCUUCGCAGGUAUACGUCUAAUGGUUUUCUUUUGUUGUGAUAUACCUUCGCGUACUUGUAUAGCUGAGGCAGGAAAUUUUUACGAGAGCUUCAAUUCGUGUGUUUGGCGUUUGGCUCCGAAAUAUUUAUAUUGUGGCAUCCGAACAGUGGAAAUAGCCGCAUAUAUUGCUGCAGGAUUAUUCAACGAAGGCUAUUUCGCCGUUUUAAAAAUUAUGGACACAUUAGAACUAAAGAUCGGUACCCAUUGUAAGGAGUAUGCAGACUCGUAUGACGCCGCGCGAAUACGGCAACAGGAGUGACGAAGCCUCAGUAGCUCGAAAGAAGCUCGAACUGCUCGCAAAGAACUGAAUUUACAACAGCAGCAAUUAUACGAGGAUGCAGAAGGCCUACUAUAUGGUCCUGGAAUCGCCGAUUAGGACUACCAUUACAGCGGAUGCUAGACUGCACACCGUUUGACGCCUGCGACGCCGAAGCCGCUGAAGGCGGCGUCCAUACCUAUAUCUAUAUAUAUGUUUUUUUUAACCAAAAAAAUAUUUUUAUAUUCUCUUUACAUGUAUUGAUGUACUAUUAAAGUUUGAGAUCCUUUGACUAAAUACGUUCUUGAAAAAAAA